rnacentral:rRNA from 1 species
UACGUAGGAGGCAAGCGUUGUCCGGAUUUACUGGGUGUAAAGGGUCCGCAGGCGGGCGAUUAAGUCGGUGGUGAAAUCCUGCAGCUUAACUGUAGAACUGCCUCCGAUACUGAUCGUCUUGAAUACGGGAGAGGGUGACGGAAUUCCAGGUGUAGCGGUGAAAUGCUUAGAUAUCUGGAAGAACACCGGUCGCGAAGGCUGUUACCUGGCCCGUUAUUGACGCUCAGGGACGAAAGCGUGGGGAGCAAACAGG